rnacentral:lncRNA from 1 species
CUGGAUUUCUGGAGUUAUACUGCUCCGAGGGAUCUCAAAUUUUGAUAUGUUGUAGUUCACGAGCUGAGGAACAACUUCAAUGAAGAAAGCAUACCGAUCUGAACAAGAGAAAAUGGAGUUUCGAAGCUCCCAACAAAUCUGACGGGUUGACAGAAAAAUAAUAACCAGUCAUUCAUCAUACCUGGAUUUCUGGAGUUAUACUGCUCCGAGGGAUCUCAAAUUUGGAUAUGUUGUAGUUCACAAGCUGAGGAACAACUUCAAUGAAGAAAGCAUGCUGAUUUGAGCAAGAGAAAAUAGAGUUUCAAAGCUCACAACAAAUCUGACGGGUUGACAGACAAAUGAUAAACAGUCACUCAUCAUACCUGGAUUUCUGGAGUUAUACUGCUCCGAGGGACCUCAAAUUUGGAUAUGUUGUAGUUCACAAGUUAAGGAACAACUUCGAUGAAGAAAGUAUGUUGAUAUGAACAAGAGAAAAUGGAGUUUCGAAGCUCACAACAAGUCUGACGGAUUAACAGAACAUUGAUGAACAGUUACUCAUCAUACUUGAAUUUCUGAAGUUGUACUACUCCGAUGGAUCUCAAAUUUGGAUAUGUUGUAGUUCACAAGAUAAGGAAAAACUUUCAUGAAGAUGACUUUGCAAUCUGAGCUAUAGAGAAUGGUGUUAUCUUGCAUCCACUCAGGCUGAUUAGUGGAAACGAAAAGCAAUUCCACCAAAGAAAAGAUGAAAAAGAGAGAAAAAAGCUACUAAUUGCACUUGAUCUUGUCUAGUCAAUAGCAUGCAGCAUCAAACACACAAAAGUUGGAAAUAUUUUUAGAUAAAGCAUAUACGAAUGUGUGACAUCGAAACAAGGAUUCGUUACUUUGACAAAUUAGUAACACGCGAGACGCCUCAUUCGGCAACUCUCUUCGCCUGAAGACUUGGGGGACUCCCACCAUAUGCUACUGCACCUUGAUACUCGGCAGUCUCACAACCACUCAGUGACUUGGAUUUUUCAAGUCUCCAACCGAGAAGUUUUCCUCACUCGGGAAAUUAAGGGAACACUACCUCAAACUAC